GAACGAAUAGCUCCAAUGGCAGAGCAGUGGUUUGAAGCGCCACCAGUGCAGGUUCGAGUCCUGCUUCGUUCG
rnacentral:tRNA from 2 species